AGCAUUGCCCAGUGGCAGUAUCAUAGCCAAUAAGAUUUAUAUAAGUCACCAUUAUUGCUAAUUGAAAACUUUGCCCAAUACCCCCCCCCAUGAUAAUUUGCAGUACUGUUAGCAUUGGAUUUUAUAUAUAUAUAUGUAUA
rfam:Otolemur garnettii contig127619, whole genome shotgun sequence.